rnacentral:rRNA from 1 species
CGGGGGGGGCAAGCGUUGUUCGGAAUUACUGGGCGUAAAGGGCUCGUAGGCGGCCAACUAAGUCAGACGUGAAAUCCCUCGGCUUAACCGGGGAACUGCGUCUGAUACUGGAUGGCUUGAGUUUGGGAGAGGGAUGCGGAAUUCCAGGUGUAGCGGUGAAAUGCGUAGAUAUCUGGAGGAACACCGGUGGCGAAGGCGGCAUCCUGGACCAACACUGACGCUGAGUGAGCGAAAGCCAGGGGAGCAAACGGGAUUAGAUACCCCGGUAGUCCUGGCCCUAAACGAUGAAUGCUUGGUGUGGCGGGUAUCGAUCCCUGCCGUGCCGAAGCUAACGCAUUAAGCAUUCCGCCUGGGGAGUACGGUCGCAAGGCUG